rnacentral:rRNA from 1 species
CCUACGGGAGGCAGCAGUGGGGAAUAUUGCACAAUGGGGGAAACCCUGAUGCAGCGACGCCGCGUGAGCGAAGAAGUAUUUCGGUAUGUAAAGCUCUAUCAGCAGGGAAGAAAAUGACGGUACCUGAUUAAGAAUCUCCGGCUAAAUACUUGCCAGCAGCCGCGGUAAUACGUAUGGAGCAAGCGUGAUCCGGAUUUACUGGGCGUAGAGGGAGCGUAGGCGGCCAGCCAAGUCAGAUGUGAAAUACCGGGGCUCAACCCCGGGGCUGCAUUGGAAACUGGCGGGCUGGAGUGCCGGAGAGGCAGACGGAAUUCCGAGUGUAGCGUGGAAAGGCGUAGAUAUGAGGAGGAACACCAGUGGCGAAGGCGGGCUGCUGGACAGUGACUGACGCUGAGGCGCGAAAGCGUAGGGAGCAAACAGGAUUAGAUACCCGAGUAGUC